AGAAAGAUGUGUCUUAGUGGAGUGGAGAGAGAAAAAUAUGUGUUAGUGCACCACUUGGCAGACUGACAAUUUUCCCCAAGGCUGUUUUUGAUUGGUGUGUGGCACCGCUUGACAAAAUGAGGUGUUGCCCUAAGUGCAACGAAUAAUAGGGCACAGCUUCCACCCUAAUCUCUCUCUCUCAUCAAUCUCUUGAUUUGAAUACAAUGGUAGCUUCAAAUCGGAAAAACAACACCCCUAAGGGUUUUGCGGAAGAAGAACUGAAGGAAUCUCUGAUACUCGGAUUUGUUGGUUUCCCGGUGACACGCUCACGAUCGAAAGAUUUGAAACUACCACCGUUGGCGGAGGGAGGCAAGAACCCUACCACCGGCAGCCAGACAUCAGACCAGGAAUACUCUCCCGAGGAUACGAAGGUAGCUUCAGAUCAAAAAAAGAACUCAAAAGUAGCUUCAUCUCACAAAAAGAAGAACGCAAAGGUAGCUUCAUCUCACAAAAAGAAGAACGCAAAGGUACCUUCAUCUCACAAAAAGAAGAAAGUAAAGGUAGCUUCAUAUCAUAAAAAGAAGAACGCAAAGGGUGUCCCGAAAAAAUCAAACAAGGCGGUGGCCAAGAACCCUACCCCCGUCGGCUUGACAUCAGAAGAGCUGCAGAAAUACUCUCGCGAGGAUUUCGAUUACAAAGAGUUUCAUGGUCCGGUCUUUGGCAUCCCACCAUUACUUAAGAUUGUAGGAUCACAGAUCCGACCAAUAAUACCAAAGUAUAUCUUCCGUGGGAAUCUCGAUGUGAAAGCUGCUAUGAAAUAUCACAACCGUCGAUGCAACGGAAACUACUGCGGUUAUAAGUUUCCCCUCCAGAUGAAAUCACAGGUGGUUGGUGGUGGUCAUUUGGAUUUCAUUACCUUUGAGUUACGUAAACCUGGUGGGGAUGAUUAUGAGAAGUUCCAAGCUAUCCUGUAUACUGCUCCUGCUGCUGGAGUGGCGGUGGAACCCAAGGUCCUGAUGUGCAGACCUGAACUCGGCUUCACUGCUAAGCCUACCUUUCGUUUCAUGAGUAUCAAUGACGUGCACAGUAUCAAUGACCUGUGGCUGUGACAACAAUACCAGUAUGCUGUGGAAGGUCCCUUUGAAUGGUAUUUGUGUGGAGUGGAUCACAGUUUCUUUACGUAUGGAUUUCGAAUGCUUAUUAGGGUAGUAUGUUUACUAUGGAGUGCAGGGUUUGUUGUAAAUGGUAUCUUUGUGGAGUUGAUUGUAGCUAUGUCUGCUUCUGGAUGUUAACAAACUAUAAAAGACCAACUUAGCUUACAAUGUGGUCCCUUUGAAUGGUAUUUGUGUGGAGUGGAUCACAGUUUCUUUACUUAUGGAUUUCAAACCCUUAUUAGGGUAGUAUGUUUACUAUGUUGUGCAGGGUUCGUUGUAAAUGGUAUCUUUGUGGAGUUGAUUGUAGCUGUGUCUGCUUCUGGAUGUUAACAAACUAUAAAAGACCAACUUAGCUUACAAUGUGGUUCAUCUGUGAAUGGUAUUUGUGUGGAAUGAAUCACAACUUCUUUACUUAA